UGCCUGUCUUUAAAGAUACCUAUGCUUUGACAUAAACAGUGUGCAUCAAAAUUUCUAAGUCCAUGGAAUAUAACCGGGAUAAAUUUAGCUUGUUUGCAUUGUAAAUUACAGUUCAUGUGUGCGGCUCCAAUAAAUUGACCUGUGAAAUGAUCAUGAUGACGUGCACGCUGCUCAUUUUGCUUAAAUAACCUUUGACAAAUACAACAACUAUCCGUCCUAUAAAAUAGUUUAUAAUCAUCUUUAGUUAAAUCUAAUGGUUGAACAUUUUGUAGUAUUUGCUCUAUUUCCUCCAUUUCUUUUAACAGACAUUCAAUUAAUUUUUCAACAGCAUCCUGACCUCGAUAAAUGACUGUGGAUUUGGUAUACUGAGGAUUCAUGCUAACAACUUUAUAACCGAAACUACAUGGAGUUAAUAGUGUUGUGGCUGUGGUGCUUGUCUGAAUUUCAUCUAUAGCAGGAGUCUCUAGUUUCCUAUUCAAAGUUUCAAAAUCAGCAUAUAUCACAAAAGGUUGAAACGCAGGCGGGUGAAUCGAAGCAAGCACACUAUAAACAAAACACUUCUCAUCAUCUAAAUUUUCUAUGUUUAAAAUACAGUUUGAUUUCGCUAGUGUCUCUGGAAGUGUUAUAUAGCUAGAUCCUCCAAGCGGAGAGUAAAUUACAGUUAAAACCCUGAGAUGAAUCACCUUACGGAUACUCCAUCCAGAUGAGUCUUUGAGAUGUAUUCCCAUCAUUUGUUGAUUUUUCAACUAAUGGUUUUCUACCGCCAGCUUGAG